UGGGGAAUAUUGCACAAUGGGCGCAAGCCUGAUGCAGCCAUGCCGCGUGUGUGAAGAAGGCCUUCGGGUUGUAAAGCACUUUCAGCGGGGAGGAAGGCGAUAAGGUUAAUAACCUCAUCGAUUGACGUUACCCGCAGAAGAAGCACCGGCUAACUCCGUGCCAGCAGCCGCGGUAAUACGGAGGGUGCAUGCGUUAAUCGGAAUUACUGGGCGUAAAGCGCACGCCGGCGGUCUGUCAAGUCGGAUGUGAAAUCCCCGGGCUCAACCUGGGAACUGCAUUCGAAACUGGCGGGCUAGAGUCUUGUAGAGGAGGGUAGAAUUCCAGGUGUAGCGGUGAAAUGCGUAGAGAUCUGGAGGAAUACCGGUGGCGAAGGCGGCCCCCUGGACAAAGACUGACGCUCAGGUGCGAAAGCGUGGGGAGCAAACAGG
rnacentral:rRNA from 1 species